ACUCCUACGGGAGGCAGCAGUGGGGAAUAUUGGACAAUGGGCGCAAGCCUGAUCCAGCCAUACCGCGUGGGUGAAGAAGGCCUUCGGGUUGUAAAGUCCCUUUGUUGGGUAAAGAAAUACCAGCUGGCUAAUACCCGGUUGGGAUGACGGUACCCAAAGAAUAAGCACCGGCUAACUUCGUGCCAGCAGCCGCGGUAAUACGAAGGGUGCAAGCGUUACUCGGAAUUACUGGGCGUAAAGCGUGCGUAGGUGGUCGUUUAAGUCCGUUGUGAAAGCCCUGGGCUCAACCUGGGAACUGCAGUGGAUACUGGGCGACUAGAGUGUGGUAGAGGGUAGCGGAAUUCCUGGUGUAGCAGUGAAAUGCGUAGAGAUCAGGAGGAACAUCCAUGGCGAAGGCAGCUACCUGGACCAACACUGACACUGAGGCACGAAAGCGUGGGAGCAAACAGGAUUAGAUACCCUGGUAGCGACUGA
rnacentral:rRNA from 1 species